GUGCACCCUGCUUACUAGGCUGCAAUCUGGAGUCUGGGGCCGACAGAGCUGUAGCAGUUGGAUGGAAGUAAUCCGCAAUGUUUGCGCAGGCAGGCUGAAAUGCAGAGUGAAGGACAAAAUACAUCAAGGAUACUACAAUCAAUAUAUACUGCAGAGCCACUUCUAGUGCUUUACAUAUGUUACCAGAAAAUAUUAAUUGAAACUCUGUGCAAUAUAACUAGAAAGAUUUUAUUCUACGUUCUGUAUGAAGGCAUGAUAAAUGGUUAAACAUGAACUUAAAGUUUUCGAAAACUGAAAACACGUAUUGGUUUCUGCUUUGUGACAAGCUUUCUAUGGGACAACACAGGAAUAAAGAGCGUUGCGGAGCACUUAGGAUAUACAUCAAACAACAUAGAAGACUGAACUCAGCAGAGCAGCGCAGGCAUGAAUUCAUCACAAUGCACAUUGGUUGAUCUCCCUCAAAUAGGCAAUGUAAAAAACAC